CAAAAUCCAAAUCCUCCAGGAGGGGUCGGAAAAAUAAUGGCUGGCAGGUCUAUGUGGCGCGCCACAACCAAGCUGUUAGUGGCCACCACCACCCUUGGUGGUGGAGCAGCGGCGGCCACAAUUGCCAGCUCCGACGACCCAGCCAUGGCCCUUAAGCUUUGCACAAAUGUCCCUCUCCGUCUCUAUCGCGAUUCCGUCACUGCUGCCACCAUUGCCUUCGAUUAUGAAUAUUCACUCUGGGGACUGCCAGAAGGUAGUGCAGAGAGAGCAAAAGCCAAACAUGAAGUUCACAUGAGGGGUGCACGCAGGCUAGAAGAACUUUGUUUCAGAAAUGGUGGAAUUUAUAUUAAGCUUGGUCAACAUUUAGGACAGCUGG
rnacentral:misc_RNA from 1 species